rnacentral:rRNA from 1 species
GACGAACGCUGGCGGCGUGCUUAAUACAUGCAAGUCGAACGAACGGACGCGGCGUUUGCUGGUCUGUUGUUAGCGGCGGGCGGGUGAGACACACGUGGAUAACCCACCUAUCUGACUGGGAUCUCUUCGAGAAACCGGAGCUAAUACCGGAUAAUAUUUUGAACCGCAUGGUGCAAAAGAGAGAGACGGUGUUGCUGUCACUUCUAGAUGCAUCUGAGCUGCUUUAGCUAGUAGGUACGGUAACGGCUUACGAAGGCAACGAUGCGUAGCCGAGUUGAGGGGGUGGUCGCCCCCACUGGAGCUGAGACGCGGUCCAGGCUCCUACGGGAGGCAGCAGUAGCGAAUCGUCGGCAAUGGGCGAAAGCCUGACGGAGCGGCGGCGCGUGAGUGAUGAAGGUCUUCGGAUCGUAAAACUGUCUUAUUGGUGAAGAACAUAUUUGGAAGGAAAUGAGCACAUCGUGACGGUACCUGAUCAGAAAGCCACGGCUAACUACGUG